CUACGUGCCAGCAGCCGCGGUAAUACGUAGGUCCCGAGCGUUGUCCGGAUUUAUUGGGCGUAAAGCGAGCGCAGGCGGUUAGAUAAGUCUGAAGUUAAAGGCAGUGGCUCAACCAUUGUAGGCUUUGGAAACUGUUUAACUUGAGUGCAGAAGGGGAGAGUGGAAUUCCAUGUGUAGCGGUGAAAUGCGUAGAUAUAUGGAGGAACACCGGUGGCGAAAGCGGCUCUCUGGUCUGUAACUGACGCUGAGGCUCGAAAGCGUGGGGAGCGAACAGGAUUAGAUACCCUGGUAGUCCACGCCGUAAACGAUGAGUGCUAGGUGUUAGGUCCUUUCCGGGACUUAGUGCCGCAGCUAACGCAUUAAGCACUCCGCCUGGGGAGUACGACCGCAAGGUUGAAACUCAAAGGAAUUGACGGGGGCCCGCACAAGCGGUGGAGCAUGUGGUUUAAUUCGAAGCAACGCGAAGAACCUUACCAGGUCUUGACAUCCCGAUGCCCGCUCUAGAGAUAG
rnacentral:rRNA from 1 species